GUUUGUAUGCUUAAUAGGGAAAUCCGUGGAAAUCGGAUACUGUUCCCGCAGCUGUAAUCUCGAAUAUGGUUUUAACGAUUAUGCCACUGUUUGAAAAGAAUGGGAAGGCGUUGAAACAGAGAGAGUCAGAAGACCUGCCAAUGUAUUUA
rnacentral:ncRNA from 1 species